CCUACGGGUGGCAGCAGUGAGGAAUAUUGGUCAAUGGGUGGGAGCCUGAACCAGCCAAGCCGCGUGAAGGAAGAAGGCGCCAGGCGUCGUAAACUUCUUUUGUCGGGGAACAAAGGGCGCCACGUGUGGCGUUGUGAGUGUACCCGAAGAAAAAGCAUCGGCUAACUCCGUGCCAGCAGCCGCGGUAAUACGGAGGAUGCGAGCGUUAUCCGGAUUUAUUGGGUUUAAAGGGUGCGUAGGCGGUCCGGAAAGUCAGCGGUAAAAGCCCGGGGCUCAACCCCGGCGAGCCGUUGAAACUGUCGGACUAGAGACGGCGAGAAGUACGCGGAAUGCGCGGUGUAGCGGUGAAAUGCUUAGAUAUCACGAAGAACUCCGAUUGCGAAGGCAGCUUACUAAACUGCCACUGACAUUGAUGCUCGAAAGUGUGGGUAUCAAACAGGAUUAGAUACCCCAGUAGUC
rnacentral:rRNA from 1 species